GAUGAACGCUGGCGGCGUGCCUAAUACAUGCAAGUCGAGCGAACAGACGAGGAGCUUGCUCCUCUGACGUUAGCGGCGGACGGGUGAGUAACACGUGGAUAACCUACCUAUAAGACUGGGAUAACUUCGGGAAACCGGAGCUAAUACCGGAUAAUAUAUUGAACCGCAUGGUUCAAUAGUGAAAGACGGUUUGGCUGUCACUUAUAGAUGGAUCCGCGCCGCAUUAGCUAGUUGGUAAGGUAACGGCUUACCAAGGCAACGAUGCGUAGCCGACCUGAGAGGGUGAUCGGCCACACUGGAACUGAGACACGGUCCAGACUCCUACGGGAGGCAGCAGUAGGGAAUCUUCCGCAAUGGGCGAAAGCCUGACGGAGCAACGCCGCGUGAGUGAUGAAGGUCUUCGGAUCGUAAAACUCUGUUAUUAGGGAAGAACAAAUGUGUAAGUAACUAUGCACGUCUUGACGGUACCUAAUCAGAAAGCAACGGCUAACUACGUG
rnacentral:rRNA from 1 species